GGGGACUUAGCUCAGUGGUAGAGCGCUUGCCUAGCAAGCACAAGGCCCUGGGUUCGGUCCUCAGCUCCG
rnacentral:tRNA from 1 species